CCUGCCACCUCUGAGCCUGUGAAGCAAACCUCUAGUUCUGCAGACCAACCACUUUCCACUGUCGAGGGUAAACAGCAAAGUGUUUCAGGGAACUUAAAGAGCUUCAUCAUCCCUUUGAGUUUGCUGAUCUUCAUUGUUAUGGUGGCCAUGUUUAUCUGGUUUAUGUUCAAAAAGCACAGACAGACCAAAGAAGAAUCCCCAGCCACAAUAAUUUCUAAUGAGGAAGUAACAUACAGUACUGUCAAGAACAAGAGAAAGACAGGUCAGCUUGGUCUCGCUGAAGAGGAAGUAACAUACAGCGAUGUUAAACACAUGAGAAGAGCUUCAGAAAAGUGGUCAGAAGCUAAUAGAGAUGUGGAC